rnacentral:lncRNA from 1 species
AUAAUAUUUACGAACUUCUCCAAAAAACGAAAUGAUUAUAUACAAAAAAAAAAAAAGGAUGGUUUAAAAAAUAGAACGACUUAGCAUAAAAAAAAAAAAAAAAAAAAAAAAAAAUUACGCACCGAAAUAUGUACUCCAACAAGAUUGUAAAAAAUACAUACAACCUGAACAACAAAGCCAGAUGGUUAAGUAGCGUGAGUAAUAACUUAAUAGAAAAGGCAUAUAACUUACAUUAUUUUUUAUUAAGUACUAGUAACCCGGUAGGUCAAAAUGAAAUACAUUUGAUUGAAUAUGAUGAUCAAACCCUUCGUAUUGACAAGUCAGUAAUAUUUAAAAAUGAAACAGAAAUAGAACAGUUAGUUUGUUUAGAUAUGUAUGAAGAAAAAGAAGGAAAAAAAAAGAUACUUUUAUGUGGUUCAACCUUUGAAUCGAAUAAGGUGAACAAUAAAAACAAAACGGAUAGUCUAUAUUCAUGUGCUAUGUGGGUUGGUGAAAUAAGUAAUGAGUUAAAACAAAAUGAUAACUCAAAAUUAUAUGUAGAAAAUAAUGAAAAAAAUGAAAACAGUUAUGAUUCUGCUAAAGAAGAAAAUUCUAUUGUUGAAGUGACCAAUAAUAAAUAUGAAAAAAAAAAUGAUAUAGAACAAACAGAAGUUAAUUUAAUUAAUGAUGCAAAUAGUGAAUUAUCAAAUGAUAAAGCAAAUAACACAGUAAUGAUUAGUAAUAACAAUAAUAACAAUAAUAACAAUAAUAACAGUAAUAACAAUAAUAACAGUAAUAACAAUAGCGAUGUGUCAAAUAAAGGCCUAAAAAAAAUAUACGAAUUCCAAAGUGAUUAUAAUUAUAUAAGAAUAAAAAAGAUCGCAACAAAUGAGUAUGAAAAGGAUGUUAUAAAAAUAGCAGUUAUAGAUAAAUAUAACUAUACAGUUUUUGAAAAAAAUAAAAAAAAUAUAAAUUUUAUAGUAUCAAACAAUGUAAAAGAAGAAUUAAAUUAUGGUACAUUUGAUCCUCACCAUGAUAACAUAUUAACAGUUAUGAGUAAUACAAGCUUCUAUGGAUAUGAUAUAAAAAGUAAUAGUCAAAUUUUUUCAACAUAUGCUAAUCAUAAAGCCAAUUUAUCAUGUAUAGAUUUUAAUUCGAAUAUACCAAAUAUAGUGAUAACAACAUCUAAUGAUGGUUGUUUAAAAAUUUGGGAUCUUAGAUUUUUAAAAAAUUCUUUUUUUAAAAUUAAUAUACAUUCACAUUGGAUAACUUCCAUUAAUUACAAUAAUUUUCACGAUGAAUUGUUAUUAACUACUAG